CCCGGGGCGGCACCUCGGCCAGGGACAGGGACGGCCCGGGGCAGGCAGGGCAGGGCAGGGCACGGCGGUAAUGGCAGUAAAAGGCGGUUACCUGAGGCAGAAGACUUGGCUUUCCGGGAAUGGCUGUGCAAACUCUUGGAGCGCACUGAUGGGAACCCAGGAGUCCUUUCGGGCUUUGCUGACAGGAAAUUCUCCUUCUCAGCCUUGACGGGGGCAGGCAUAGAGGUGUAAGAGGCACUCAUACCUGCUUCACCAACAUUACAAUCAUCAUCUGUGUCCAUCUGCUUCUCCUCUGCUUGCCUUUCUGCUUCAGAGAUCAACCCAGGGUAUUCUGGAGGACGCUCUUGAGAAAGCUGCUGCUCAACUUCGUAUUUCCACUCCGUGGCCCACUGUUCAAUUGUAGAAGGACACACCUGAUCCAUGAUGGUACUGUACUCCGAGGUCCAGUUGUUAACUCCUCCAACCAGCUUUCCACCUUGUGCAAAAAUAAAGCUCCUUGACUUCAUCAUAGUGGUUUGACAAGCACUGAAAGUUUCAGGAGGAAAAUAGCGCAUUGCUUUGGAUUUGUCCAAGGGAUAAGAGAUGGUUGCUUCUAACUUGGUACGUGCUACUUUUAACUGAGUGUUCUGAAAAUCUGGUCCUGCUACUGACUGACUGUUUGUAACAGCAUUCAUCUGAUUUACACUUUGAGGAAUCAUUCCAUCGCUACUGAAAACCCCCUGCUUUUCACUCCCCAAACUGCCUGUACCAGAAUGGGCUCUGGAAACAUUCUGUGCAAUUUCUAACGUAGAUUUACUGUGAUCUGCUGUAGCAACUGCAUUAGGACUCGAGCUAUGGAGUCCAGUUUGGUGUUCUGGAACCAGCAUCCUUGGGUCUGCUCCAUCUUCUUUGGUACCAAUAGAGUGGGCUUUUUGACGCAUGGCUGGUGACAUAGGCGUGGUGCUGUCAUCGUAGGUCAGCUCGUCACCGCUGAUGUGGUAUUUGUACAUGCUGUAGCCAUCGGAGCUGUUGACACUGCUCUGCCUCAGGAGAUAGGCAGCAUCACACUCUGACGAGGCCCGCGAGCGCGUGUACGUCAGCUCGGAUUUGUCGACGCCCGCCAGCUUCUCCAGGGCAUUCACCAUCCGACCGGAGAGCUCCUCCAGCUGGGAGAGCCGCAGGUCGACUGUCUGGAGAGAAGCUUUCAUAAAGUGUUCUCUUUCAUUCACUUCUUCUAGCCUCAUCGACAUAUUUUCAACUCUGUGGAGUAUAAAAAAGGAAGCAGAGAACAGAACGUGUAGAAUGGUGCAGUAACCCACUAUAGGCACCCAGCGCCUGAUUUCUUCCCAAGGCAGAGUUUUGUGGUGUGCAUCAUGCCUUGUUCUUUUUUCCUAUGGGUAGCAACAAAAGCGCGAGCAUUUUCUUGUUAUCUAUGCUUUCUGUACACCAUAUUAGAGGGGUAUUUGAACUUUGCACUUAUAUUCAUGGCAGGAGAGCCCUUAGGGACAGACUUCUGUUAACAUUUCUGCGUCUGCCACCCACCGUGUGCUCAGUUGUUCUCUUUCACUGUGACGCAUCAAAUUAAUUACAUGAAAAGUACUUUCUAAAGACAUGCUCACAGGGUGACUUAAAAUAGCAUCAAAGCAUGUUGUAAAACAGGUUCUGCAGCUGAAUGAGAGAGAAACAUAUUCUGGUGUUGAUGGGAUUGCUUUUGCUCUUGAAAUACCUUUCUAUUUUGUAUCAGCUGAAUGAGUGGAACUAUUGUCUAGUUCAAUUAAAAUAAUACUUUUUCCCAUUUU